GAUGAACGCUGGCGGCGUGCCUAAUACAUGCAAGUCGAGCGAACAGACGAGGAGCUUGCUCCUCUGACGUUAGCGGCGGACGGGUGAGUAACACGUGGAUAACCUACCUAUAAGACUGGGAUAACUUCGGGAAACCGGAGCUAAUACCGGAUAAUAUAUUGAACCGCAUGGUUCAAUAGUGAAAGACGGUUUUGCUGUCACUUAUAGAUGGAUCCGCGCCGCAUUAGCUAGUUGGUAAGGUAACGGCUUACCAAGGCAACGAUGCGUAGCCGACCGGAGAGGGUGAUCGGCCACACUGGAACUGAGACACGGUCCAGACUCCUACGGGAGGCAGCAGUAGGGAAUCUUCCGCAGUGGGCGAAAGCCUGACGGAGCAACGCCGCGUGAGUGAUGAAGGUCUUCGGAUCGUAAAACUCUGUUAUUAGGGAAGAACAAAUGUGUAAGUAACUAUGCACGUCUUGACGGUACCUAAUCAGAAAGCCACGGCUAACUACGUG
rnacentral:rRNA from 1 species